rnacentral:lncRNA from 1 species
GUAUCUAAGUCAAAUAUGUCAAUUUCUGAAUGCUACAUGUUACAGUCAUAAUAAAUGAAUUAGUAACAUCAUGUGCACCAUUAAAGAGUUUGAAAGUGUUUUAAAGUUAAAGAAACACAAUAAGUGACUGACAAUUUGAUCAAAUUUGUUAUUCUGAAGUAGUCAAUAUACGCGUGUGGAAACACAUUUUAUUGGAUUAGUUAGAGCAUUGGUUUGUUCACAAGACGAAAGAAACACGUUAUAUUAUAAUUUUAUGUAAAUUAUAUUGCUCACUAUGGAUUGUAUCUACUAAACACAAAAAUGUAUUUAGCUGUUCUAUCAAGGCAAUACAAACGAUAGAUCCAGCAACAUAUCAUUUAUGCUAAUAACAAGUUGUUUUUAAACGUAGAUAAAAAGCUGAUUUUGUUUGAUCAUUUGUGUGUCAUUUUUGUGAAUAAGAUCUAACAUUUGAAAUACAAAAGCACAAACAACAGACCGUAGCCAUCACCAGGUCAAAUUGCGUUUUCUGCAUGGUAAGAUGAAUAUGAUCAUGAUUUAAAAUUAUCCUUAAAAUUAAUAAUAAAAAAGUAUCUUCAUGAGAGAGGUAAAGUAAACAUAUGGUGCACACACUAUUACAAAACGUAAUGUUUUACAGGUCUCUUCUAAUAAGAUAAGAUUGUAAAUAUUUAGAUCAUCCCUACAAGGAGUAGUUUCACAAGGCGAAAACAAAUGGUUGAUAUCACUUGUGGAAUGAUGUGUUAGGUUUUUUCUAUGUUGUGUCUUCUGUACUAUUACUUGUCUGGUUGACUUUAUUUUUAGUCAUGGCGUUGUCAGUGUAUGUUCUAUCUAUGAGUUUGACUCUCUGGUAUCUUUUGUCCCUCCUUCAACUUGUAAGAACAUUCUUGUUAUAAUGUUCCUUUUUUUACAGUGAGGACUACAUUGAGUGCGAGAUUUGCAGUAGGUAGGUAUUAUAGUCUUUUAAUAUAUAAAGCCAAGAUUUUGCAUAAAAAAACAGGAUUAUAUUAUCAUAUUUCAUUCGUUGUAAAAAUAUAUCUGUUAACAUUUGUUUGAACCAAUGUUUUAAUGAGGAUCAGUGAAUACCUUAUUAAACGAUAUCAAAUAUAAAGAAGAGUAAUUUCAUCUUCAAGAUAACAUUCAGAAAAGAACUACAAUGUUUUUGUACAUCCGUUGGCAUUUUUUUCCGCCAUCAAAUGAAGCCAGUAUACAGUGUUCAUAUUGUUUUUGUUGAGUAAUACGUUUUAACAAUCUUUCACAUUUCACAAUGAUUUCCUGAAGUAUUUGAUAAACGUUUAUAAACGGAAAGUGCUUUAAUUAAUAUGUUUAAACAAUAUAAAAAAACGCAAAUGUGUGUUUUCAUUUUACAUUUUUUAGUAUGACUACAGCACAUAAAAAAAAAUCACUUAUUUCCAUCAUAAUGUAAUUCUAUUAAACGAGUAUGUUAAUGUAUUGCAGACACAUGCCCUAUAUUGGAACGGUUUCAUUGAGUCAAGGAAAUUGUGUAAUCUUUCUCCAAAAUAUAAUCAAGAUGUUUUCAAUGCUGUUUUGAAAUAGUGUAGUAACUGAAGAGGAAAUUAUAAUUCCAAUGACAACAAACUUAUCUUUCAGUAAAUGUUACUUUUUAUUGUAUGUUGAAUAUAAUUACUGUUUUUUAAUUUGCUUUGUUAGUUGAUAACGUUUGCUUUUGUCAAUCUAUUUAAGAUAAUGUGGAUUCAUUAAUAUUCGUUAGAUACAAAUCUUCGUGGAUUUGGUGGGUACAGGUAAACCACGAAAUUAAAUAUUCAACGAAUAACACAUUUUCCAUAAGCGCGUAUGCAUACUUCUGCAAAAACCGCAAAAUUAAAUAUCAACGAACAUAUAAGUUUUUAUGAAUACACGAAAUUUAAUAUCAUCGAAAAUAAAUGAAUCCACAGUACCUUAAUCUUGAUAUUGCUGUCAGUUGUAUAUUUGUUUCGUUUACAACUUAACAUUUAAUGAAAUGCCAUAUAUAAAUUUCUAUUCAUACUACUUUAGUUAUAAUGUUUAUAUAGAACUGAAACAUCUUUCACCCAAUUCAAGAGUCUAAAAUACUCAUGGAAUGGCAACUCGUGCCAUUGCAAUGUAUGUGCUUAGAUUUUAAUGUAUUAUUAAUGUUACAGCUUUAAAACAUAAUAAUGCUGAUUUUUUUGUGAUUGUUUGAUUAACUUUUUUUAUCACUUGUGAUAACUGUGUUUUAGUUUUUAUGUUGCCUUUAAAUUAGUGCUCAUGCGUGUGUAUAAUAUAUAAUAUUCAAAUUAGUGCAACCUAAAUGUGCAUGAAAUGAAUGUUAUAUGUCUUUUAUAUUUUAAUAUUAUUAUUGUGUACAAUUAUUAUGAAAAUGUAUGUAUGUGACGGUUAUAAAAGCUCAGAGAACUUAUGUUUAUUUGUUAUGUAACUAAAUUGAAUGUAUACAUUUUUUGAUGCUG